rnacentral:rRNA from 1 species
GCUUGUCUCAAAGAUUAAGCCAUGCAUGUCUAAGUGUAAAUACGUCUACACUGUGAAACUGCGAAUGGCUCAUUAAAUCAGUUAUCGUUUAUUUGAUGAUCUCUUGUUACAUGGAUAACCGUAGUAAUUCUAGAGCUAAUACAUGCGUCAAGCCCCGACUUCGGAAGGGGUGCAUUUAUUAGAUUCAAACCAUCGGCUUCGGCCUUUGAUGGUGAGUCAUAAUAACUUAGCGAAUCGAAUGGCCUUGUGCCGUCGAUGCUUCAUUCAAAUUUCUGCCCUAUCAGCUUUCGAUGGUAGGAUCUUGGCCUACCAUGGCUAUAACGGGUAACGGGGAAUUAGGGUUCGAUUCCGGAGAGGGAGCUUGAGAAACGGCUACCACAUCCAAGGAAGGCAGCAGG